rnacentral:rRNA from 1 species
UACGGAAGGCAGCAGUGGGGAAUAUUGCACAAUGGGCGAAAGCCUGAUGCAGCUAUGCCGCGUGUAUGAAGAAGGCCUUAGGGUUGUAAAGUACUUUCAUCGGGGAGGAAAAACAAAACUAAUAAUUUUAUUUCUUGACGUUACCCGAAAAAGAAGCACCGGCUAACUCCGUGCCAGCAGCCGCGGUAAUACGGAGGGUGCUAGCGUUAAUCAGAAUUACUGGGCGUAAAGAGCACGUAGGUGGUUUUUUUAAGUCAGAUGUGAAAUCCCUGGGCUUAACCUGGAACUGCAUUUUGAAACUGAAAUACUAGAGUAUCGUAGAGGGAGGUAGAAUUCUAGGUGUAGCGGUGAAAUGCGUAGAUAUCUGGAGGAAUACCUGUGGCGAAAGCGGCCUCCUAAACGAAUACUGACACUGAGGUGCGAAAGCGUGGGGAGCAAACGAGGGAUUAGAUACC